AAGUGCAGACUGUGCAAUAAAGUGAGAAAGUGCAACUCUCAUCACUCUAAAAAUGAUAUUCACCACCUCUCAACUGAAGCUCCUGACGAAGUCCGAGAGACGAAACGCGUUGAGCCACAGUGGGACCCUCCAGUUUUGGUAUCAGCAGUUUCUGCUUUACAAAAUUGUUGCUUAUGAGAUUGUUUGUGGACAUUACUGGUGAAUAUCAUUUUUAGAGUGAUGAGAGUUGCACUUUCUCACUUUAUUGCACAGUCUGCACUU